AUUGAACGCUGGCGGCAGGCCUAACACAUGCCAGUCGAGCGGAUGAAGGGAGCUUGCUCCUGGAUUCAGCGGCGGACGGGUGAGUAAUGCCUAGGAAUCUGCCUGGUAGUGGGGGAUAACGUCCGGAAACGGGCGCUAAUACCGCAUACGUCCUGAGGGAGAAAGUGGGGGAUCUUCGGACCUCACGCUAUCAGAUGAGCCUAGGUCGGAUUAGCUAGUUGGUGGGGUAAAGGCCUACCAAGGCGACGAUCCGUAACUGGUCUGAGAGGAUGAUCAGUCACACUGGAACUGAGACACGGUCCAGACUCCUACGGGAGGCAGCAGUGGGGAAUAUUGGAUAAUGGGCGAAAGCCUGAUCCAGCCAUGCCGCGUGUGUGAAGAAGGUCUUCGGAUUGUAAAGCACUUUAAGUUGGGAGGAAGGGCAGUAAGUUAAUACCUUGCUGUUUUGACGUUACCAACAGAAUAAGCACCGGCUAACUUCGUG
rnacentral:rRNA from 1 species